GAUGAACGUUGGCGGCGUGCCUAAUACAUGCAAGUCGAACGAAGACUGUAGUAAUACUGUCUUAGUGGCGAACGGGUGAGUAACGCGUGGGUGACCUGCCCCGAAGUGUGGGAUAACAGUCCGAAAGGAUUGCUAAUACUGCAUAAUAUCCAAGAGAUUAGAUGCUUUUGGAUUAAAGGAGUAAUUCGCUUCGGGAGGGGCCCGCGUCCCAUCAGCUAGUUGGUAAGGUAAUGGCUUACCAAGGCGAUGACGGGUAGCCGGCCUGAGAGGGUGUCCGGCCACACUGGAACUGAGACACGGUCCAGACUCCUACGGGAGGCAGCAGUGAGGAAUAUUGGACAAUGGAUGGAAAUCUGAUCCAGCCAUGCCGCGUGCGGGAAGAAGGUCCUAAUGGAUUGUAAACCGCUUUUGUAUUGGGAACAAUAAUAGCUACGUGUAGCUAGAUGAGUGUACCAUACGAAUAAGCAUCGGCUAACUCCGUGCCCAGCAGCCGACGG
rnacentral:rRNA from 1 species